rnacentral:rRNA from 1 species
UAGGGAAUAUUGCAAAAUGGGCGAAAGCCCGAUGCAGCAACGCCGCGUGGGCGAUGAAGGCCUUCGGGUCGUAAAGCCCUUUUUGAGGGGAUGAGGAAGGACAGUACCCUCAGAAUAAGCCUCGGCUAACUCCGUGCCAGCAGCCGCGGUAAUACGGAGGGUGCAAGCGUUGUUCGGAAUUAUUGGGCGUAAAGCGCGUGUAGGCGGUUUCUUAAGUCUGAUGUGAAAGCCCCGGGCUCAACCUGGGAAGUGCAUUGGAAACUGGGAGACUUGAGUACGGGAGAGGGUAGUGGAAUUCCUAGUGUAGGAGUGAAAUCCGUAGAUAUUAGGAGGAACACCGGCGACGAAGGCGGCUACCUGGACCGAUACUGACGCUGAGACGCGAAAGCGUGGGGAGCAAACA